rnacentral:sRNA from 13 species
AAGCGUUGAAGGUCUAUGGUCGGUUGGUUUGACUGUGGCUGGAGCUUUACCAGGGUUGUGUGUGAACUCCUCAAGCCAACACAGAAAACACUCAUU